rnacentral:rRNA from 1 species
UGGAUGAUGUGGAUUAAUUCGAUGCAACGCGAAAAACCUUACCUACCCUUGACAUGCCAGGAACCCUGCUGAGAGGUGGGGGUGCUCGAAAGAGAGCCUGGGCACAGGUGCUGCAUGGCUGUCGUCAGCUCGUGUCGUGAGAUGUUGGGUUAAGUCCCGCAACGAGCGCAACCCUUGUCAUUAGUUGCCAUCAUUUAGUUGGGCACUCUAAUGAGACUGCCGGUGACAAACCGGAGGAAGGUGGGGAUGACGUCAAGUCCUCAUGGCCCUUAUGGGUAGGGCUUCACACGUCAUACAAUGGUCGGUACAGAGGGUUGCCAAGCCGCGAGGUGGAGCCAAUCCCAGAAAGCCGAUCGUAGUCCGGAUCGUAGUCUGCAACUCGACUGCGUGAAGUCGGAAUCGCUAGUAAUCGUGGAUCAGCAUGCCACGGUGAAUACGUUCCCGGGUCUUGUACACACCGCCCGUCACACCAUGGGAGUGGGUUUCACCAGAAGUAGGUAGCCUAACCGCGAGGGGGGCGCUUACCACGGUGGGAUUCAUGACUGGG